GUCGGUAGGUUCCUUGUUCUAGUAUAGAUGGAGGUAGUUUGUGUUAGUUGUGUGAUGUCAGUAGGUUCCUUGUUCUAGUAUGGAUGGAGGUAGUUUGUGUUGGGUGUGUGAUGUUGUUGGUAGGUUCCUUGUUCUAGUAUAGAUGGAGGUAGUUUGUGUUGGUUGUGUGAUGUUGUCGGUAGGUUCCUUGUUCUAAUAUAGAUGGAGGUAGCUUGUGU
rnacentral:lncRNA from 1 species